ACAGGCUCUAUCCUUGCGAAGUUUGUCGUGGAAUGGUAAUUAUGAUUCGCGGGCGUGAAUUCCUCCCUGAUUGCAAAGGCAGGGAUGAUGGAUCUGCAAAAGGAAAAUGUCAUUCCAAUUCCUUGUUGGUUAUUGCGGGGACUCCGAGAUUCAUUUCGUAAGAGAGAGAAUGGACUUGAUAAGUUGUCUCAUAUCUAUCCUGUGGGGAAGAGAAGGUGAGGGAAAAAAAAAAAGAAAAGAAAUUCGACACGGACA
rnacentral:sRNA from 2 species